rnacentral:rRNA from 1 species
UACAGAGGUCCCAAGCGUUGUUCGGAUUCAUUGGGCGUAAAGGGUGCGUAGGUGGCAUGGUUAGUCGGGUGUGAAAUCCCGGGGCUCAACCCCGGAACUGCACUCGAUACUGCCGUGCUCGAGUACUGGAGAGGAGACUGGAAUUUACGGUGUAGCAGUGAAAUGCGUAGAUAUCGUAAGGAAGACCGGUGGCGAAAGCUAGGCUCUGGACAGUCACUGACACUGAGGCACGAAGGCCAGGGGAGCAAACCGG